rnacentral:rRNA from 1 species
UACGUAGGGCGCAAGCGUUGUCCGGAAUUAUUGGGCGUAAAGAGCUCGUAGGCGGUUUGUCGCGUCUGCUGUGAAAACCUAAGGCUCAACCUUGGGCUUGCAGUGGGUACGGGCAGACUAGAGGUGCGGUAGGGGGUGACUGGAAUUCCUGGUGUAGCGGUGGAAUGCGCAGAUAUCAGGAGGAACACCGAUGGCGAAGGCAGG